rnacentral:tRNA from 1 species
UUAAUUGAAACCAAAACAGAGGUAUAUCACUGUUAAUGAUAUUAAUGAUUUUCAUAUCCAAUUAAA